GAUCCUGGCUCAGGAUGAACGCUAGCUACAGGCUUAACACAUGCAAGUCGAGGGGCAGCGGGAUUGAAGCUUGCUUCAAUUGCCGGCGACCGGCGCACGGGUGAGUAACGCGUAUCCAACCUUCCGUACACUCAGGGAUAGCCUUUCGAAAGAAAGAUUAAUACCUGAUGGUAUGAUGAGAUUGCAUGAUAUCAUCAUUAAAGAUUUAGUCCGGUGUACGAUGGGG
rnacentral:rRNA from 1 species